rnacentral:lncRNA from 1 species
UUCCUGCUCUGACCACUGAAACCAGAUCAGGGAGCUCAGGGGCUAGGCAUUUACAGUUGUCUGUGUUACAGGUCACUAAAUGCUCCUGACUUCUCAAAAAACUGAAAGUUUCCUCUUGGGAGGAGCUGAUUGUACUCUUCAGGACUUUCAGUGCUGCUGGUGCCCUGCCCAUUGGAAAACGCCUCUCCCUGUCACUCUCUAUAAAUGCCAUAGUGGCCCUGAGGGAAGCCUUCUGCAGCACAGCUCCAGCUGAAGACUUGAGACUCCAGUCACCUCACCAUGAGGCUUCUAAUACUUUCCAGCCUGUUCUGUAUCCUGCUUCUCUGUUUCUCCAUCUUCUCCUCAGAAGGUAGGGCUGCCCCCCUGGGGUGCUAGUACCUGAGGUACUACCUGAAUUCUAGUUUCUAGGAAGUUUCCAAACAGGAACUGUUGGAGUUCAGGCUUUGGCAGGCAAUCCUGCACAAGACAGGCUCUUGCUCCUGAACCCAUGCAGUGCCUCUAUCCAUAGUUAGCACCAAACAGGUGGCUUUGGGGCUUCAGGACCUACAAUCUCUUUCAAUAGCUCCAACUCCCCCAAAAAAGACAGCCUAGGUGAACCAUCGCGCUUACAUGCAAACCCAAGACCUCCCAGCUAGAUUGCUGCACGUGAGUCCAACCUGUCUAGAAAAUCUGGAGCCACUCUGUUGGAUCUGUAGCAUGGCUGGGACAGAGCAAAUUAGUGCUGAAUGAAUAAUUAAUUAGUUGACUAUCUGAAUUUGAACAUCCCAAACAUCUUGCACAGGCAGAUGGGAUGAGGGUAUGUAUGAAAUGGGGAUAGAUAUGGGGCACAUUUAUACAUGUUCAGAAGUGGGGAGCAUGGUCUUUCCACCCUUGUGGAUGUGAAUAUUUAGCUCCCCUGCCUUUCUUCAUUUAGAUAGCUGAAUAUUUGGGGCUUUUUCUCUUACCUGAUACUCUAGAAACUACCAAGUUUUUUUUUUUUUUUUUGUCUCAAUGGUUUUGGUUAUUUCAACAUUUAUUAGAGACAGGGAUGUAGAAAUAUGUAAAGGGGAGAAAAACACCCAUGAUUUCUUGAUUCAAGAAUAACCAUGUUCUGGCCACGAAUGGUGGUGCACACAUGUAAUCCCUGCAGCUUGGGAGGCUGAGGCAGGAGGAUUGAGAAUUCAAAGCUAGCCCCAGCAACUUAGUGAAGCGCUAAGCAAUUCAGUGAGACCCUGUCUCUAAAUAAAAUACAAAAUAGGGGGCUGGGGAUGUGGCUCAGUGGUCGAGUGCCCCUGAAUUCAAUCCCCUGUAUCAAAAAAAAAAGUAUAACCAUUUCAAUAUUCUGUUUAUUUCUUUUCAGUCUUAUGUGCAUCUUUUUUUUAAUUGCUAAUAUCUCUAUAUGGUCAAUAUUUGGUCUUUUUGUAUUAUAAAAACUUGUUUACUAAGACUUUAAACAAUCUGUAUAUGAUGUUACUUCACUGGAAAAAGCUUAAACCUUUAAAAUACAAAACUAAGAAAUGUAUGAAUGAGCAAACAUGAAAAAUGUUGCUGAACUGCAGUGGAUAAAUAACAGAAAACACAGCUGAUGGCAUUUGUUAUAAAUGAUGGCCUUCAAGCCUUCAACUUAAAAUCAUAUUUCUGACAUAAGCAGAAAUAUAUUUUUGGAUAUCUUAGAGGUCACCAAUGCUACUCUAAUGGCAACUCAAUAAGGAUGAAUAUAUUUCUCCAUAAAGCUUCCUAUUAUUCCAUUUAGGACUAUCUAUGGCAGAUCCCAAAAUUGACAUUAUUUUCAAUAUAUAAUAUAAUAUAUAAUAUAAUAGUCUCAUGUAUAAUUUGCCAUCAAGUGAGUGAGAUAGCACAAAUUUAUAUGCUCAGACAUUUAGAUGGUUCAAAAUGUUGCACUGUAGUAAGUAUAUGUAAAAGAAAAAAAAAAAAACGUGUACAUAAAAUAUUUCCUAUACUUAGGAUUCUUAGGCUAGAUUGCCAGGGGAGACUGUGUGGAAGGGCAUGGACAUUUCUGGGCCACAGAAUGGUUCUUCGGACAGGAAAAUGAGGAGGACAUAUUCUGAGGGCAUAGCCAUCUUCCAACAUUGACUUUAUUAUUUCUGAAAACUAAAAUACAGCAAAGUUCACCCUUUCUCUCACAUAGCCUGGCUCAUCCUGAGUUUCCUGAACCUGGGUCUCCCUGCCCAGAACCACCCCAGGGUACCCCCAAGUGCACUAAAGGAGUGUCUGGGCUUUUUUGUAUCCAUCCUCAGGGAAAAGGCAUCCUGCCAAGUCCUGGAAACUCUGCUGCCACAGAGUUCCUGCUCUCAACCUGACAACCCAGAAAGGUAAGUGCUCAUACCUGCUCAUACCUGGGGUUAGGGAAUAGCUCCAGGGGGUCACGGAACAGGCCAGACACGUUGAUCAGCCCCCACCUGAGCCUGGUGUGAGGCCCUGGUACAGAGGGGGCCACCAACAGGUAUGAUCUUUGCCUCCUAGAGCUUAGAGGGAACAAAUUAACCAUUUCAAACUGAACACAUUCUAUCAAGGAAAAGCAAGACGCAAUUAAGAAAUGGCAUUGGGUGUACCUGUCCCUUGGAUGGGAGGUGUCAGAGGAAGUGAGAUUUAAGAGACCCCAUGAAGGGCCAGGAACCCUGCCUCAGACCAUGGAGGUUGAUGGUCCAGAAAGAGGCAGCAGUGGCAUUGAAGGCCUGGAGUGAGCUAGAAGAAGACAUAGAACACAAAAAGGAGCUGGGGGGCCAAAGGUGCUUAUGGAAUCUACAAACCAAGAGUGCCCGACUGCAGCAAUGUGGACCUGAUGCACAGGCCAGCAGUGCAAGCCACCUGCGGGUGGAUGGGGCAUGCAGGUGCCAGGAGCUUCAUCCUGGAGGGGCACAUUGCAGCCCCCAAAGAUGCAGGCUGCCAAUAUCCAGGCUCCAUUCCUAGGCACCCAGAUGGAGGCACCCAAAUGGGCUCCGUGCUCAGGGUGAGGCCUGGAAGAGCAGAUCUACCCCCAUUCUAGGGCCCAUGCUUUGACUCAAUACCCUCCCCAUAGAUUCCAAGGAGGCCCCGGCCCUUCUUGUUUCUCUAAGGCUAUAGCCCCCAAAGCCCAUGACUAACACUAGAGCCUCAUGCCUGUCUUAGCAACCAAGAGUCCCACCCACCCCAAAGGGAAGCUCAGAUGUGGAUAGGGGUGAGGGGUGGGGAGUGAGACAUGACAGCUCCAACCUCAAGCUACUUCUCUCCAGACGCUGAAAACCUCUUCUUUCCAGCUGGCAUCACACCCAGCUGGGGCUGGGUAAAAAUAAUCAGUUCUCACACGCACACCUCGCACAUUGCAAAACCGCAAAGAGAAUGUGAGGCAUCUGCCCAGGCAAGGUGAAGGGUGAGCACAGGCUCACUGUAACUCUGCUCCCCCAGGCCUGCUGGGGAGGAACACUUCUAUGAGUUGCAAACCUAGGCCCCUCUCACCCCUCCCCAGCAUGGGAUGCUCAGAAGCUGUCAAGAAUAGACCAUUGAGGGGUGGUGUUGUGCCCACUCACACACACACACUUACACACUACACAUACAGAGGCACGCAGACACAUACACAAAAACACAGACAUACAUACUACACACACAUAUAUGCACACUACACACACAUGUACAUGUGCCACACAUUACACACCCAGAUACACACAAACUCAUACACACACACACACACACACACAUAUACAAGUACACACAGUUCACAGGAAACAUGGCCAGGUUCACCCUUUGUGCACAGUACAAAAGUAGUCCCUUUGUUAGUCAUAUAACACUUUGGAAAAAUAACCUAGGGCUGUGACUUCUAAGUCGAGACUGAAUUUCUUCAGGUGUAUAUAUAUAUUUUUUUUAAUUUCCACUAUAGAAACAUAUAAACAACUUUUAAACAUAUUUCCAGGUCCUUACCAUGUGAUCGCAUUUAAAUCCUUGCUACCACCCUAGGGAGGUCUUGUCACCAUUGUAUAGAUUGGAAAACUGUGAGGCCCAGUAGGAAACUGGGCAGAGCCGAAAGCCAGGCUCUGUGCACCUCUUUCCACUACAAUUACCUGUCUUUUUCUGGGAGGGAAAGUCUCCUGUAGCAUGGGUUGGACGACACAGCACGCCAAGCUGGACCGCAGACUUCUUAGAUGAAAAGUGCCAUUCCGGUUGGCAUCUCAGCUCCCCACCCACUAGAUCCAUGUCCUUGAGCAGGUCCCCAGCCUUGCUAAGCCUCAGUCACCUGCCCUGUGAAAAGGUAUGAUAAGUGAAUCUGCAUGGGGCUGCAGUGAGGAGUCAGUGGGGCACCUGGCAUCAAGCCUGACUCCCCCCUAACCCCCACUCUUACCAUGGAGUUAGGCUGGACCCUGCCUGCUUCCACUGGGGCAGGAGAGCGAUGAUUCCCAUGCCAAACACCAAAGCACACGCAUUCUUGCCCAGGCUUGAGGGUUCCACCCAUUAUCUUCCGGGACCAACACUGGGAUUGAGAGAAAAGGAGGGAGAAAAAUGAAUCAGGGUGUUGUGUAACUGAGAGCAGGAUUUUGGGGUGUGUCAGGUUCCUGGAAUCUAGCCUCAUGGAAUCCAGCACAUGGACAUAUGAAAGUGCCUGUGCCUCCAUCUGCAGUCAAGAAAUUAAUAUAGGGCUGCCAGCACCAGCUGUGACCCACACCUGGAUGGCAGCUGCUCCUCAUUCUAAAGCCUUCUCUGGGCACUGCUUUAUAUCUAAGUGCUGCGUGAAACUCACAGGAGUGUCGAGAUAUGGAAGGCCCAGGACUCUGGGUUAAGGCAAAAACCAUCUCCAAAAAUUAAUGUGAAAAAAUGGUGGAUUUGAUGAAUUGACUCCAUUUACCAAUUUCCUGAUAAAAAGUCUUUCUUAAAGAUUUACAAAAUUAGAGCAAUCUAUAUAGCAGCAUUGUCAUAAUAUUUUUUAAACGAAACAUUCAAUAUACUAACUCUGUCGGCUUGAAGGGGCAUCAGGCACUGGCCCUGAGAUGCAAAGCUGUUCUGGUUUAAACUAGGGUCAACUGAUGGCUGCUUAGGACCUGGGGAGCCCUGUGGCAAGACUUGAGAGAUUGCCCAGAUACUGGGAGUCCCAUGCCCCUCUCUGCUUCAAAGUUCAGCAAAAUGAUUCAACCCACAGUAGAAGACUCAUGGUGGAUGAGAGAUUCCUCUCCUACCAUGCAGUUGUCUCUGUCUUUAGGAAGGACCUCAGACAGGAGGGACAAAGAUUGCCCACUGAGAAACACAUGUAGUGGCUUCAGGGUUUCAGCAACAGUACCAGAAUAGACAUGAGGACCCAGAAGUAGAGACCCUGGAGGAGGUGGACAGAGCCCUCAGCCCUGGGGACCCACCAGAGGGACUGCAAAUCUGUGGUCUUGCUUCCUGUAAUGAUGUCCAUUAACUGUAACUGCCUUAAAAACACCCCCAACUUGAGUGACCCAAAGCAGUAAGUUGUUGUUAUUUUCCAUGCGACUGCAGGUCAGCUAAGCAUUCCUUCUAGUCUCGGCUGGUCUUGUUCAUUCUUCUAAGGUUUAGAGAGGCAGCUUUGUGGAUCUUGGCUGGACUCCUUCAUGUGUUUGUGGGUUGAAUAGCUGUUAGUUCAGGAGAGUCUUGUUGUAACAACUGGAUUUGCUUCCACGUGGUCUUUCUUCAUUCAAACUAGCCCAGAAUGUUCACAAGAAGGCUGCAGGGAUCCACCAUUUGGGAAUAGGAACGUGGAGGCUUCCUCAAGGGGAGGCUCAGAAAACACCCACCUUCAUGUCCACCCCGUGCUAUUGGCCAAAACAAGUCACAAGACCAGCCCAGAUCUUAGGAACAGGGAAAUAGAUCCUGGACCUUGAUGGGAGAAGUUGCAAGAGAAGGGCGGAGAAUGACCACCUAUUCCCAAUCAAUCAACUGUGAUGUUUAUUGUAGGACCCAACAAUGACACUUGGGAUCUACAGGUGGGGACAGAGCACAGAGGGGGUGGGCAGUGGUCAGGACAUCAUGGGCCAUCAGAAAUGCUGGUGGAAAUACUCAUGACAUGGUGUCAAUGGAAAAGAAUAAGUUAUGUAUGUUCAUGAUUAUCACCACAGAAAGGUGAAAGUAAUUUCAAGUAGGAAGUAAAAAAAUGGAAAGAAAAUCACACCAACGUUAGCACUUACUUAUGAUUAAUACAUGAGGUUGUGGAUGAAUUAUGAGAAUUAAACUUAUUUUUUACGUAGCAAGUGCUUAUAUAGCAGUUACUAGUUGUCGUAUUUACAUCUGCUAACACAUCUAAUCCUCACAAUAAUCCUAAAAGUCAGAUGCUUUUACUAUCCUUAUUUUCACCGAUGAGGGAUCAAAACCCAGAUAAGUUAUGUAACUUACUAAAGGUUACACAUCUAGUAAGUAAAUGGUACAGCUGGGCUUUGAGUCCAAAUAAUUUAGCUCCAGAUUCUGUUAUUAACUUUCAUACAACAGUGCAUGUAGUAGUAAUCUGGAAUCAAGAGAGAAAGAAGAAUCUCAUUACCAUAACUUAAGAACAUUUCUCAUUCAUGUUUUCUUUGUUAUUAUUAUGCAAAAAAGAUUUGCCUGGCUUUGUUUUUAUUGUACUUCACUUUAAAAAUCUUUAAUAUUAACCAUAAUAAGCAUUUUUCUUUAUGUUGCUACACAUUUUUUAUAACCUCAGGGUUUCUAUCAUCAUGAGGUGUCAUCACUAAUUAUCCAUAAAGAUCACAGGAUACACUACUAGCAGCAUUUUUUUCUGCUAUUAAAAAUAAUAUGAAGAAUAGUUUAAUGCAAGCAGUAUUUCCUUUCUUGUGGAUUGUCCUCCUGUAAAUGGGACUGGUUUGCCAAUGAUGCAAAUGCAGCUCUGGAACACAUGUGGCCUGGCACUUGCUGCCUAGGAGGAGACAGUCUGGGGGUCCAAGGGCUGCACGUCCAUGUGGCAAGCCCUCGGGCCACAGCCUUCACAAACAGGCCUCCUGGACCCAGGCCAACUCAAGUGUGCUGUGCCUGGUAUAAGUCACCUUCUCUCCACCUUCUGCCAGUAAAUCAGAGUUCCCCAGACUCCCCCAACAUGACCGAAACCAUCUGGGGUAGUCAUGUUUGCCAUGAAGGGCCCUUUCUCGGCCUCCCGUGAGGAGGGGAAGGUCUGAUUUUUUGCUUUGAUUUUUUUAAAAAAAGUUUGUGCUUGAGAAUAAGUCUUAAUUAUGUUUCUCUCUCUCUUUCUCUCCCCGCCCCACCUUUGCUCCCCACCUUUGCUCCCCACUCUCUGCCUUCCUGUCCUCAUGCCUCUACCCAUUGCUCCUCCCCAGGAAACCGCAUAAGGCUCUGCAGAGUGUGCAAGCUCAAGCCAAUGUCACAGUCUUGGGUGGUGCCUGGGGCUCUCCCGCAGGUGUAGUGCUCCCAGAGCCAGGCUCCAUACAGCUGAGAUUCUUGUUCUCAGCACCAGAAACACCAGAACCCUUGGUUUGCCCCUCUUAGCAAGUGAGCUGUGAUGUUGGAGAAUGUCAUCUAAGGCAUCAAGGGCCCUGGGGAAGGUUCUGGAACUCCAGGUCCUGGUCCCAAUCCUGCCACAGUCUGCAGAGCUGUUGUGAGCCAGGCCCAACCCCCAAGACUUCAACCCCAGGAGGUCCCUUUAGUGCAGAGAGUUGAGGAUUUCACCAUGACCUGUGGCACCUAGGGUUCCAGAAGCUUCUAAGUCUACGAGAAUUCAGCAUAGUAAGACCGAAGGGUGGUCAAUGAGGACUGCAGAGUCUCAGUCAUCCUCAGAUAUACUCCAAUCCUGGCAUUUAGUCACCAGCAUCCAGUGACCCCUGAAGGAACCACUCGCUAACUUUCAGACAUGAGUCUACUGGAAAGA